CUUUUGACCCCCUUGGUCAGUACGUGCCCAGGAACCAUGUUCAAUAUCAUCUUGGAUCAAGUGCACUCAGGAUGAUAAAUGUGCUGUGAAACCACCUCCACAGCCUGAAUGUCCACAGUCAGACUGGAAAACCUUGGUGAUAGCUCUGGUGUGAGCCUGCCCUUGCUGCUGGGCCCUGCGUGAGUGCGGAGGCCAUGGCAGAGUACAGGGAGGCCAUAAGCCCCACAUCACUUUCCUUUAAUCUUUUUGCAGGGGGGAGUCUCGCCUUCUUCCUCGGUGAGUAUGGGGGCCUGAUCUUCAUCUGGCUGGAGAGAGAAGGGGCCUGAGGCCAGAGGGUGUGGAAGGGACCCUGUGGUGGCCACUCAGGCUUUCUCUUUUUCUGGCAGGCUUCCCGGGUGCAACCUAGCCUGCUGCAGUGGGUGAAGUUUUGGUAGGUGAGUGUCAGAGUGAGCCGACCCAGGCCACAUCCUGGGAGUGGAGGCACAGUCACCAGGGGCAGGGCCAGGAUCUUGGUAUAUCCUCAGAUCUCAGUGGGCAGCGGCACGAAGUCAGGCAAUUUCUUCCAACCACCACCAAGGCCCCGAAAAGCACUGGUCAUCAGGGAGCUCCUCCCCUUGGCCCCCAGCCUGUGCCAGCCCUGGCCCGGCUGCCAUACCUCUGUUUCCUAGGCUGGGGACCCAGCUUGUCUCUCCUUGUUUCUUCCCACUGCACUGGGGUGCUUCAGUGACCACCAGCCUCAUCGGAUACACCAGC
rnacentral:sRNA from 1 species